GGCUCUUUGCUCACAUAAAUAUAAAGAGUCGAGCCUGCCCAGUGAAUUUUUUUAACGGCCGCGGUACUCUGACCGUGCAAAGGUAGCAUAAUCAUUUGCCUUAUAAUUGAAGGCUAGUAUGAAUGGUUUGACGAGAGCAAUACUGUCUCCUUUUUAUUUUCAAAAACUUAACUUUUAGGUGAAGAGGCCUAAAUUUUAUUGAAGGACAAGAAGACCCUGUCGAGCUUAAAAGACAUUAUAGGAGUCUAAUAUAUUUUUAAAUAAAUUUUCUAUUAGGCUUUUUAGUUGGGGCGACUAGGGAACAAAAAAAGCUUCUUUCUAAUAAAUAAACAAUCAUGUUUAGAUCCGAUAAUAGCGAUCAAAGAAAUUAGUUACCGCAGGGAUAACAGCAUAAUCUCUCUUAAGAGGCCUAAUCGAAAGAGGGGGUUGUGACCUCGAUGUUGGACUAGAAUAUCCUAAAGAUGCAGAAGUCUUUAAGGGUCGGUCUGUUCGACCGUUAAAAUUCU
rnacentral:rRNA from 1 species